rnacentral:snRNA from 1 species
AUAGCUUCUUGACCUUUUAGCUUAGAUCAACUGAAGUGUCUGUUCUUUCAAGUUUAAUCCAUUUGCAAAACAGUUGACUUGGAAGCAGGUUUUUUUUUGCUUUUAUAUAUCAUACCUUUU